AUUGAACGCUGGCGGCAUGCUUUACACAUGCAAGUCGAACGGCAGCGCGAUUGGGGUAACCCAAUUGGCGGCGAGUGGCGAACGGGUGAGUAGAAUAUCGGAACGUACCCAGGAGUGGGGGAUAACUCGCUGAAAGGUGAGCUAAUACCGCAUGAGAUCUGAGGAUGAAAGCAGGGGACCUGAGAGGGCCUUGCGCUGUUGGAGCGGCCGAUAACUGAUUAGCUAGUUGGUGGGGUAAAGGCCUACCAAGGCGACGAUCAGUAGCUGGUCUGAGAGGACGACCAGCCACACUGGAACUGAGAGACGGUCCAGACUCCUACGGGAGGCAGCAGUGGGGAAUAUUGGACAAUGGGGGCAACCCUGAUCCAGCGAUGCCGCGUGAGUGAAGAAGGCCUUCGGGUUGUAAAGCUCUUUUGUUGGGGAAGAAAGGGUGGUCUCUAAUAUAGACUACUGAUGACGGUACCCAAAGAAUAAGCACCGGCUAACUACGUGCCAGCAGCCGCCGUAAUAC
rnacentral:rRNA from 1 species